GAUGAACGCUAGCUACAGGCUUAACACAUGCAAGUCGAGGGGCAGCAUGAUUGAAGCUUGCUUCAAUCGAUGGCGACCGGCGCACGGGUGAGUAACACGUAUCCAACCUGCCGAUAACUCGGGGAUAGCCUUUCGAAAGAAAGAUUAAUACCCGAUAGUAUAGUAUUUCCGCAUGGUUUCACUAUUAAAGAACUUCGGUUAUCGAUGGGGAUGCGUUCCAUUAGAUAGUUGGCGGGGUAACGGCCCACCAAGUCAACGAUGGAUAGGGGUUCUGAGAGGAAGGUCCCCCACAUUGGAACUGAGACACGGUCCAAACUCCUACGGGAGGCAGCAGUGAGGAAUAUUGGUCAAUGGACGAGAGUCUGAACCAGCCAAGUAGCGUGAAGGAUGACUGCCCUAUGGGUUGUAAACUUCUUUUAGACGGGAAUAAAGUGGAGUAUGCAUACUCCUUUGUAUGUACCGUAUGAAUAAGGAUCGGCUAACUCCGUG
rnacentral:rRNA from 1 species